rnacentral:rRNA from 1 species
CUACGGGUGGCACCAGUGAGGAAUAUUGCACAAUGGGGGGAACCCUGAUGCAGCAACGCCGCGUGGAGGAUGACGCAUUUCGGUGUGUAAACUCCUUUUAUAUGUCAAGAAAAUGACGGUAGCAUAUGAAUAAGCACCGGCUAACUCCGUGCCAGCGAGCCGCGGUAAUACGGAGGGUGCAAGCGUUACUCGGAAUCACUGGGCGUAAAGGACGCGUAGGCGGGUUGGAAAGUCAGGUGUGAAAUCCUACAGCUUAACUGUAGAACUGCACUUGAAACUUCUAAGCUAGAGUAUGGGAGGGGGAGAUGGAAUUAGUGGUGUAGGGGUAAAAUCCGUAGAUAUCACUAGGAAUACCUAAAGCGAAGGCGAUCUCCUGGAACAUUACUGACGCUAAGGCGUGAAAGCGUGGGGAGCAAACAGGAUUAGAUACCCUCGUAGUC